CCAACAGGGAUUGCCCUAGUAACGGCGAGUGAAGCGGCAACAGCUCAAAUUUGAAAUCUGGCUCUUUCAGAGUCCGAGUUGUAAUUUGCAGAGGGCGCUUUGGCGUUGGCAGCGGUCCAAGUUCUUUGGAACAGGACGUCACAGAGGGUGAGAAUCCCGUACGUGGUCGCUAGACUUCGCCGUGUAAAGCCCCUUCGACGAGUCGAGUUGUUUGGGAAUGCAGCUCUAAAUGGGAGGUAAAUUUCUUCUAAAGCUAAAUACUGGCCAGAGACCGAUAGCGCACAAGUAGAGUGAUCGAAAGAUGAAAAGCACUUUGGAAAGAGAGUCAAAUAGCACGUGAAAUUGUUGAAAGGGAAGCGCUUGCAGCCAGACUUGCCUGUAGUUGCUUAUCCAGACUUUUGUCUGGUGCACUCUUCUAUAGGCAGGCCAGCAUCAGUUUGGGCGGUUGGAUAAAGGUCUCUAUCACGUACCUCUCUUCGGGGAGGCCUUAUAGGGGAGACGACAUACAACCAGCCUGGACUGAGGUCCGCGCAUCUGCUAGGAUGCUGGCGUAAUGGCUGUAAGCGGCCCGUCUUGAAACACGGACCAAGGAGUCUAACAUCUAUGCGAGUGUUUGGGUGUCAAGCCCAUACGCGUAAUGAAAGUGAACGGAGGUGGGAACCUUUUAGGUGCACCAUCGACCGAUCCUGAUGUCUUCGGAUGGAUUUGAGUAAGAGCAUGGCUGUUGGGACCCGAAAGAUGGUGAACUAUGCUUGAAUAGGGUGAAGCCAGAGGAAACUCUGGUGGAGGCUCGCAGCGGUUCUGACGUGCAAAUCGAUCGUCAAAUUUGGGCAUAGGGGCGAAAGAC
rnacentral:rRNA from 1 species